UUCCGUUGCUUUCCUCUAUUUUAUAUUACUUAUGGGUGCCGUAUUUAUGUUAUGUAAUCUGCUUCUGUGUUUUACUAUGUGUUUGUAUGGUAUCUCGUGUCUUGGGCCGGGGGUCUAUCGGAAACAGCCUUUCUACUUCAUCAGAGGUAGAGGUAUGGACUGCGUACAUCUUACCCCCCCCAGACCCCACUAGGUGGGAAUACACUGGGU
rnacentral:lncRNA from 1 species